UUUUUUUUUUUUUUUUUUUUUUUGUCUUUUCUAGGGCUGCACCCACGGCAUUGGGAGGUUCCCAGCUGCACUCUAAAACAACACAAAACAAAAAGUAAAUUCUCAAUUCAAAAAAAAACAAACAAAAAAAAACCAAAACACUAGAGAAGUUAGUCUGCUUACUGCCCUUCCCCCACAAACCUUAACCUCACUUUUCCCUGUCAAUCAAUCCAGUUCAUGAAUGAGCUGACAGCGGACCUCAGGCAGACCUUCCUAACCCCUGGCCACAAGAACACUCGCUUUAGUCGUGUGGGAUCAUGGAAUGAGACUCAGAGUCGAGCUGUCUGGAGGGUGACAUGUUGUUACUUUGGGCAAGAUCAAGUUUCAAUCCUCACCAGUGUCGAAGUGGAGCUAGAAAUAGUACCUUCGCAUGGUUAUUGUGGGGAAAAGUGAGAUAUAUGUGCAAAGAGGGGGGGUAGGAGGGUCCCCAACACGUAGUAGACAUUCAAUAAGUUACUUUCAUUCCUGAAGAUGAGAUUUUCUAGAGCAGCAUCAGAGGGGUAGCAGCUUUGUUUCUAUCUAACCAUUACCUUGGACCCCCCUAGGACAGAAAUCAGCUGGACACCAAGCCACAUGAGCCCACACAGAUCUCCACCUACCAAAGUUGUUCGAAAGUCUACUUUUGAACAAUAAUGCAAGAAUGAAGGUGAGCAGGAGUCCCCUGGUGGCUCGGCAGGUUGAGGAUCCAGUGUUGUCACUGCUGUGGCACAGGUUCUAUCCCAGACCCAGUAACUUCCAUAUGCCACAGACCAAGCUUCAAAAAAAAAAAAAAAAAAAAGAACAAGCGUGGGCAGAAAGAAUCUCCUAAGAGAUCAUCAUCUCCCAUGACAUAAAAUGGGGCUGAGUGUUGAGCCUUUUUCUCUUUAAGUGAUGCGCCACAUGAUCUGAUACCACUUUAAAUGAAGUGGAUAUGCGGUCUUUCAAGCACACAGAAAGAUAAGCAUCACCCUUUGCGCCGAUGAUAGGGUUUAUGAAGAACCAGGAGAAAGAAAUUCUAAGCGCUGGUCCCCACCCCUGCAGAAAUAUAAUCUUAACAUCAGUGGUUCCCUGCCUACGAAGCCCUGGGCCUCGGCCUACCCCUGUGUAUCUUUGACCUCAGCUUGAGGCUGAGCCAAGUGCUCCUUACGAUUUAGGUGAGUCAGGGCAGGUGGAGAGAAGGUGUUCCCAAAUGCAUCAGAGUCCACUAUGGAUCUUGCAAAGAAUGAAGGUUCUCCAGACCUGUCUGGUCCAACUCUGCAGAGGGGGAGUCCCAAAUCUGUCAUUCUCAGUAAGCUCCCCGGAAUCCCAUGCCCAGGGAAUUCUCUUGCAGCCAGGCUGCCACCGUUAGGGUCUGAAGAACCAAGAGAUGGGUCACUCAAAGUCUAUGAUAGGAGAGUUGGUACAGGGAGUUUCCCAAAGAAAAUAGUUCUGGUUAGCUCACGUUGAAGAGGAAGAAAGUGAGACUCAUAUUGAAUAUACUUAAGAUUAGACACAAGGCUGCUCGGAUUUGGAAGUGUAUGGUUUUGAGUAAGAGUUUAAGAUAAAUAAACACUUUAGAUUUCCUGGUAGAAGCCAGUCCCAAGAAUACUGAGUUUUAGUACUUCCCUGAGCAAGAUAAAGUCAAUGAGAAAAUUAGAAAUGAGCCUCGUCCCUAAUCAGUGAGCCUUGAGAGCAAACGGAGGACUGAGAGUCAGUCCCUACUCCCAACGGGGUGAUCUUGAGAGAUGGGAUCCAACAGGUGUUUGACAACAGAGAGAAAGAGACAGGGAGGGAGAGAACUGACUGAGCCGGGCUGCAAACUGGGCUGCCGAGGUUGGCAACCUAAUGCCUUCCGGAUGGAUGGAAACUCAACUCUCAUUUCCUUGCUCUUCCGGAAUGGAGUCUCAGUGGUGUCCCCAUAAAGCCAAGAUGCCAGCCAGGGGGAAGCAUUCAUAGCACAUCUGCAGCCAGGGGACCCCAGACCUUAGACUUUCCUGCCCAGAGACUGAGGGUUGGGAGAGAUGGGGGAGACUGCCUCUGCUUGAAGAGUCUGGCCCCCAUGAAAGGGAGAAACGAAUACAAGAGUUCAGCCUCCCCCAGUUCGGAGUGUAAGCUGUGGUCCCUCAACUUGGGGGAGUCAAGGCAAAGGCAUCAUCGCCUUAAGCAAAUGAUACUGUGAGCUGGGGAUCACUACAGCCCUACACCCUUACCCAAGACACCAGUUUUGUUUUGUUCUGUUUUUUUUUUUUACAGCCACACCCAUGGCAUAUGGAAGUUCCCAGGCUAGCGGUUGAAUCGGAGCUACAGAUGCCAGGCUACACCACAGCCACAGCAACGUGGGAUCUGAGCCACAUCCGCAACCCACACCACAGCUCACAGCAAUGCCGGAUUCUUCACCCAUUGAGCAAGGCCAGGGAUUGAACCCACAACCUCAAGGACACUGUUGGGUUCUUAACCCACUGAGACACAACAGGAACUCUGAGAGUGCCAGUUUCAGUGCCUAAGCUUUGCUGAAAAGAAUCGGUAUCUUGGGAAAUGUGGGAUGCAAAAAACAAUUUCUGAGUGUUUCAAGGCCUGUCAACGGUCCCUUAGAAGGUGGCCACUCAGGCUCAGAUGGAACCUGGCGAAGGACCUCCCCCCUCCCUCCACAUCAGUUCUCCCCAGAGUAUAAGUGCACCCACUGGUAAUAUAGGAGGUGAUUAUGGUGGUUCCUGGGGCCAUUUUUAAUCAUAAUUAUACAUUUACAGGUUCAGUGUGUUUCAGAAGAGAAAUUAGGACAUCAAAUCUGAAUUUUAUGGGAGUUCCCGUUGUGGCUCAGCAGCAAUGAAACCAACUAGUAUCCAUGAGGAUACGGGUUUGAUCCCCUGGCCCCACUCAGUGUGUUAGGGAUCUGGCGUGGCCGUGAGCUGUGGUGUAGGUUGAAGAAAGGGCUCAGAUCUGGUGUUGCUGUGGCUGUGGCGUAGGCCAGGGGCUACAGCUCUGAUUCGAUUCCUAGCCUGGGAACUUCCACAUGCCGUGGGUGGGGCCCUAAAAGGAAAAAAAAAAAAAAAAUCUGGUUUUUGUGGAUUUAACUGCUGAGGACAAGGUUAAAGGAGGUAUUUAAUUUUAAAAAAUAAGUUGGGUUUAAGAAAAAUGUUAAUGAUGGUACAAGUGCUUUGGGGAGGAGGCAAAGGUCAUAUAUUAAGUGGCUGAGGAAACACUGCUCUGGAUGAAACAUAAGAGUAACAGCCAAACACCAGCCCAUCUCAGAGGAGGAGAUGCCUUCUGGGAAGGAAUGUGUCCCAAAGGAAUAAAAUGUCACAAGCCCUGGGCCAAGGCAGGAGAAGGGGAACCUGCCCCUCUUAUUUCCUUCCACCUACAGCCAUGGCUGAAUAGCUACAAAAAAGAACAAGAAAAAAAAGUAACGGUUUGGUUAAUAAUCAAAAUGCACCAUUUUAUAAGCAAAAUAUAUUUUUAACUCAAGAAAGUGUUAUUUCACUAACCAUCCCACAGGGUGUUGCAAGCAUGACCUGAAGCUGCAACAGGAAAUGGCCCCUUGAUGUGGCCCACAGGCCUGGACAGCAAGCAGCGGCAGGGUGAGGGCCCAUCACCAAUCUCAGCAGGGGGGCCACUGCCCUGGCCCUGGCAGCAACAGGGAGCCAUGCCAUAGCGGGCCAGCAAAGGGGGAUAGGGGGAUAGUUCUGCAAGAGGUGGCCAGGAGGGCUGGUCCAAAUAGGGAACCAGAGAUGCCAUCUGGGAAUAUUUCAAAGGGAAGCUAUAAAUCUUGAAUGUUUUUUCCACCUUUUUUUUUUUUUUUUUUUGGCCCAACCUGUGGCACAUGGGAGUUCCCAGGCCAGGGAUCAAACCCAAGGCACAGGCGCAACCUAUGCCACAGCUGCGUGGCAACACCAGCUCCUUAACCCACUGAGCGGGACUGGGGAUUGAACAUGUGCCACCAGAGAAACAACGCUGGAUCCUUAACCUACCGAGCCACAGAGGGAACUCCCUCAUAUUUCUUAUUUUUAAUUUCUAUUUCUUCGGUGUGUUUUAUAACAUUCAUAUAUACUAGAGUAGAAGUAUAAAUAUAAUUUAUAAAUACAUAAAUACCAGAGUGAACACUCAAAAUUGUUUAUGGAUAGGAGGCAGGAUCAAAAAUUUGGCUGCUGUACGUCUACAUUCCUCCCUAACUACCGCUGCCUGGGUUGCUGUCAAUAGUUUCUCCACGUAAACUGUACCUCCCACACUGGAUGCUGGGGGAGAGGGGGUUGGGGAGCUGGUGGGGGCACCUGUGCCAUUGAGUUCAAACCACUUCAUGCGUAGUGGGGUCUCUGGGGCCUGGAGGGUUCUGAGGGGCCCAGGCUCCUUGGAGGAGCGGGUAUGGGAAGCUCUGUAAAGUCUAAAGUCCUGGAAAUAACACAGGGUCUGCCUUCAGAGGGACCUUCACUAGAGCCCACGUCCUAGCACAGGCUGGCUGUGCAAUCUGGAGUGCCCACUCUGAACAGCAAGUUUGUCUUCUGUCCAAUGAAGAGCUCAAGAGUGAUACAUAAGGAGUUCCCGUCGUGGCGCAGUGGUUAACGAAUCCGACUAGGAACCACGAGGUUGCGGGUUCGGUCCCUGCCCUUGCUCAGUGGGUUAACAAUCUGGCGUUGCCGUGAGCUGUGGUGUAGGUUGCAGACGCCCAAGAAAUAGCAACAACAACAACAACAACAAAAAAGACAAAAGACAAAAUAAAUAAAUAAAUAAAUAAAUAAUUUAAAAAAUAAAUAAAUAAAUAAAAACUGCAUUAAAAAAAAAAAAAAAGAGUGAUACAUAAGUCGUGGCCUCUUUGCAAGGCUCCCAAGAAGUAAGAGGAAAGGGGGCUUGGGGAAUCCUAGAGCACCUUCCUUUCCAGAACACAGAGCGUCCCUGGCAUGGGGUGGCCCCAGAGGCUCCCAGGUACAAAGUCUGUGAGGAGGGGGUGCAACAGGGCCAGCGAGGGGAACCUGACAAAGCCAGGUCUCUGCCCAAACAGGCCAGAAGUCAUGCACAGCCCAGGUGAGCUGGGGCACCGGCACCCAGCCGCCCACACCAACCAUCAGCCACCCCCGCCAUCUCCAGGUUCCUGUAGCUGCUGAGAAAGUUCAAGGGUAAGUUGGCUUUCACUCUUUGACUCUUCUUAUUCAUCUCAGCCAGACCUUUGGGGGUAGGGGGAGAGGUGAGGAAGACAGCUGACAUGCAGUCAUUCUGAGCACCCCUGGGGUCCUCCUGCUCACAGCCUCCCUUUCCCCCAAGCCUCCACCGGCCCUCCUGACUCUUGUUUCCUAAGAAACAAGCACAGGCUGAUUCAUGCAGGUUGCAGAAAACAGGAUAAACCCAGGCUGCUUUGUAGGGUUACAAGUUCAGAGGCUUUGGGGUUUUCUGGAUCUAAUCUUGAAGCAUCGAGACACAUCUGAAUACUUGGAUGAUUCCCAUCUCUCUCUUCCUCUUGUCACCCUGGUCACCCUGAUGUGCACUGAACCCCAGACCAGAGGCUCCCAGCCCUUCAUGCACCAUUUGAAGGAAAUGGAUCCACUGACCUCCCCUAGUCCGUUCCCAUCCCAUCCGAUUCCUCUGAGUCCCUGCAAAAGAACUUCUCUGGGAGGAGAACCAGUCUGUGGCUCGUUCCAUUCUUGCAUUUCUGACUUUUGCCAUUUGGGGAAGCCAGAGAGCAGGUUCUGCUAUGCACUUUUGCGGGGAGGCACGAGGAGGGUAGAAGCAGGCUCUGUGCCACGUCCAGGGCCAUGAAGGCAUCAGUGGAGAUCAAGGCCCGGCCUUCCACUCUAGCUUGGGGCACCAAAGCAGAGAAAGCAUCCUUUCUGAUUUUGAACAGACAAGGUCUUGCCUUUUACCAUUCUCUGCUGAGACCCUGAAACAGACUGUGAGCUUCCCACACACAGGUGCACAGCUGCUCAUCUAUCUCUGUGUCUCCCUGCACAGCUCAGUGUCUGGCACAGGCAGCUGCUGAAGGGACAAGGGCGUAGCUGAUUCAGCUCAGUCCUGCUGGGGCUAGCACAGUACUGCUUGAUACAAGCUGCUAUUGUAAAAGUUGCUGUCGUGGCUAAGCGGGUUAAGGACCUGCACGUUCCAUCUCUGGCCUCAAUCAGUGGGUUAAGGAUCCAGCUUUGCCCCAAGCAGCAUAGGUCACAGAUGUGGCUCAAUUCCAGUGUUGCUGUGGCUAUGGUACAGGCUGGCAGCUGAAGCUCCAAUUCAACCCGUAGCCUGGGAACUUUCAUAUGCGACAGGUAUGGCUCGUAAAAAGAAAAAAAUAAAAUAAACAAACAAAGCUGCUGGGAUUAGCUAGCACCUCUCUCCUCCCACUGCACUGGCUGAGAUGCCCAGAUUAAACGCGGGGCUUCAGAACCCUCAGAAGAUCUUGCAAAUCAGUGCUGAGUCUCAGAGCUCCAUUUCCUGGGUAACAGCCUCAGAUCAAGGUUUUACCCAGGUGUGAGCUCUCCCAACAGCCCAGGAAAGGGGUAAAGGUGAGAACCCUCGCUCACCACAGUGCAGAUAGACAGGGUCAAAAAAAAAAAAAAAAAAAAAAAAAAAAAACAAAAACAACCUGUCAGCUCCACCCUACCUGUGUGAGCCCUCACCAUGGGAGCAGAGGCAGGAGGGGAGAACACCACAGCCAGCCACGUCAUCUGUGGUUUCACUUCUCUGGUGAAUCAGUUCCCUGUGCAGGAGCCCAGAAGGGCAACCUUGAGUUGAAAUAUUGUUGAGCCAAUUGCAAAUGAAGGCACAGGGUAGUGGGGCCAGGAGCAGGGUGUGAAGUCACACCUGCCAUUGGUUCAGCCACGCCACAUGUCCUUUGGCCCAACCAGCGAGCCUCCGAGGAGGGAACGGUGUACCUGCCUUGCAGGGAUGGAUGCAGAAUGACUCAGAGCUGAAAGCGCUGGGCCAAUGGGAAAAGCCUCCACAC
rnacentral:lncRNA from 1 species